UACGUAGGGGGCAAGCGUUUGUCCGGAUUUAUUGGGCGUAAAGAGCGUGUAGGCGGCUUUACAGGUCCGUUGUGAAAACUCGAGGCUCAACCUCGAGACGCCGGUGGAAACCGUAAAGCUAGAGUCCGGAAGAGGAGAGUGGAAUUCCUGGUGUAGCGGUGAAAUGCGCAGAUAUCAGGAAGAACACCCGUGGCGAAGGCGGCUCUCUGGGACGGGUACUGACGCUGAGACGCGAAAAGCGUGGGG
rnacentral:rRNA from 1 species